rnacentral:lncRNA from 10 species
AGGUUCCACCCUUUUCUGGGAACGUGAGUAUCAACCAAGUUUACACCCCGCCACUCCUGAGCACCGCACACCGGCUUCCUCCCAGUCCCUCAUCUGAGAACUCAUGAAGCCACUUGGAAUCCCUCUCUGCUUUGCCUGGCUCAUUCCAUGUCAAUUUCAGAUCUUCACUUCAGGUCAGCUCCAAGGAGGCUAUCCUUGCCCAUCUUCCUAAAAUAGAGCUCUCAAAACCUGGCUGUUUUCCUUCAGAGCACUGGCCUCCAAUUGCUCCGGUAGAUUGCAAAUGACCUGCUUUCUUUCUGUUCCCGGGCGUUUGGACCCCUGUCUUGGACCGCUGUCGGAUAGUAAAUCCCAAGUAAGGUACCUGCCGUCGGCAGAUUUGAGCUUUCUUCUUGGACACCUAAUACCCAGAGUCCUCCAGGCUCCGGUAGAUUGCAAAUGACCUGCUUUCUUUCUGUUCCCGGGCGGCAUCGGACCCGUCGGAGAGUAAAUCCCAAGUAAGGUACCUGCCG